rnacentral:rRNA from 1 species
AUUGAACGCUGGCGGCAGGCCUAACACAUGCAAGUCGAACGAGUGGCGGACGGGUGAGUAAUGUAUGGGAAACUGCCCGAUGGAGGGGGAUAACUACUGGAAACGGUAGCUAAUACCGCAUACCAUCGGAUGUGCCCAGAUGGGAUUAGCUAGUAGGUGGGGUAAAGGCUCACCUAGGCGACGAUCCCUAGCUGGUCUGAGAGGAUGAUCAGCCACACUGGGACUGAGACACGGUCCAGACGCCUACGGGAGGCAGCAGUGGGGAAUAUUGCACAAUGGGCGCAAGCCUGAUGCAGCCAUGCCGGGUGUAUGAAGAAGGCCUUCGGGUUGUAAAGUACUUUCAGCGGGGAGGCGUUACCCGCAGAAGAAGCACCGGCUAACUCCGUGCCAGCAGCCGCGGUAAUAC